rnacentral:rRNA from 1 species
AACGAACGCUGGCGGCAUGCCUAACACAUGCAAGUCGAACGAGACCUUCGGGUCUAGUGGCGCACGGGUGCGUAACGCGUGGGAACCUGCCUUUAGGUUCGGGAUAACUCAGAGAAAUUUGAGCUAAUACCGGAUGAUGUCUUCGGACCAAAGAUUUAUCGCCUUUAGAUGGGCCCGCGUUGGAUUAGCUAGUUGGUGGGGUAAAGGCCUACCAAGGCGACGAUCCAUAGCUGGUCUGAGAGGAUGAUCAGCCACACUGGGACUGAGACACGGCCCAGACUCCUACGGGAGGCAGCAGUGGGGAAUAUUGGACAAUGGGCGAAAGCCUGAUCCAGCAAUGCCGCGUGAGUGAUGAAGGCCUUAGGGUUGUAAAGCUCUUUUACCCGAGAUGAUAAUGACAGUAUCGGGAGAAUAAGCUCCGGCUAACUCCGU